AGUGAACGCUGGCGGUAGGCCUAACACAUGCAAGUCGAACGGCAGCACAGUAAGAGCUUGCUCUUACGGGUGGCGAGUGGCGGACGGGUGAGGAAUACAUCGGAAUCUACUUUUUCGUGGGGGAUAACGUAGGGAAACUUACGCUAAUACCGCAUACGACCUACGGGUUAAAGCAGGGGAUCUUCGGACCUUUCGCGAUUGAAUGAGCCGAUGUCGGAUUAGCUAGUUGGCGGGGUAAAGGCCCACCAAGGCGACGAUCCGUAGCUGGUCUGAGAGGAUGAUCAGCCACACUGGAACUGAGACGCGGUCCAGACUCCUACGGGAGGCAGCAGUGGGGAAUAUUGGACAAUGGGCGAAAGCCUGAUCCAGCCAUACCGCGUGGGUGAAGAAGGCCUUCGGGUUGUAAAGCCCUUUUGUUGGGAAAGAAAAGCAGCAGGUUAAUACCCCGCUGUUCUGACGGUACCCAAAGAAUAAGCACCGGCUAACUUCGUG
rnacentral:rRNA from 1 species